AGAGUUUGAUCCUGGCUCAGGACGAACGCUGGCGGCGUGCCUAACACAUGCAAGUCAAGGAGAGGGUUUCCUUCGGGAAAUUAUUAUCCUGGCGCACGGGUGAGUAACGCGUAGAUAAUCUGCCCCUAUCACAGACAUAACUUCGGGAAACUGAUGAUAAUAUCUGAUGAGGCCUUCGGGUCAAAGUUUCGACGGAUAGGGAUGAGUCUGCGUCUGAUUAGCUAGUUGGUGAGAUAAAAGCUCACCAAGGCAACGAUCAGUAACUGGUCUGAGAGGACGAUCAGUCACACUGGAACUGAGACACGGUCCAGACUCCUACGGGAGGCAGCAGUGAGGAAUUUUGGUCAAUGGGGGCAACCCUGAACCAGCGACGCCGCGUGUGGGAUGACGGAGCUUUGCUUUGUAAACCACUGUCAGAAGGGAAAAAAGGUGCUAUGAAGCACUGGGAUUGUACCUUCAGAGGAAGCACCGGCUAACUACGUGCCAGCAGCCGCGGUAAUACGUAGGGUGCAAGCGUUGUCCGGAUUUACUGGGUGUAAAGGGUGCGCAGGCGGACUUGUGCGUCAGGGGUUAAAUCUAUCGGCUCAACCGGUAAUCUGCCCUUGAUACGACAAGCCUUGAGUACGAGAGAGGAUGAUAGAAUUCCUGGUGUAGCGGUGAAAUGCGUAGAUAUCAGGAGGAAUACCAGUGGCGAAGGCGGUCAUCUGGCUCGUAACUGACGCUCAGGCACGAAAGCGUGGGGAGCAAACAGGAUUAGAUACCCUGGUAGUCCACGCCCUAAACGAUGUAUGCUUGUUGUUGGGGCUCUAAGCCUCAGUGACGGAGAAAACUCGUUAAGCAUACCACCUGGGGAGUACGAUCGCAAGGUUGAAACUCAAAGGAAUUGACGGGGGCCCGCACAAGCGGUGGAUUAUGUGGUUUAAUUCGAUGCAACGCGAAGAACCUUACCCGGGCUUGAAGUGCACCGGACGAACCAUGAAAGUGGUUUUUCCUUCGGGACUGGUGCAGAGGUGCUGCACGGCUGUCGUCAGCUCGUGCCGUGAGGUGUUGGGUUAAGUCCCGCAACGAGCGCAACCCCUAUCCUUAGUUGUCAUCAGGUAAUGCUGGACCCUCUAAGGAGACUGCCCACGCAAGUGGAGAGGAAGGUGGGGACGACGUCAAGUCAUCAUGGCCCUUAUGUCCGGGGCUACACACGUAAUACAAUGGCAGGUACAGAAGGCGAAGCCGCGAGGUGGAGGAAAUCCCCAAAAACCUGCCUCAGUUCGGAUUGUAGUCUGCAACUCGACUACAUGAAGCUGGAAUCGCUAGUAAUCGUGGAUCAGCGUGCCACGGUGAAUACGUUCCCGGGCCUUGUACACACCGCCCGUCAAGCCAUGGAAGCUGGGGGCGCCCGAAGCCGUAAGCAAUUACGUCUAAGGCGAACUUAGUAACUGGGGCUAAGUCGUAACAAGGUA
rnacentral:rRNA from 1 species